rnacentral:sRNA from 1 species
UGGGCCUGGCUUGAUUUGGAUAAAAUGUAUUCUAUGACACUAAUAUUUUUUUAAAAAUUGUGAUAAAAAUAUAUAAAAUGUAUCACAUAAACCUUGGUGUGUGUGUGUGUGUGUGUGUGUGUGGUGGUGGUGGUGGUACACGGUAGAUGCUGAGGAUGGAACCCAGGGCUUCCAUCAUACUUUGCCAGCACUCCCCCAC